CUAUGCACGCUCGCUUCCCCCACUUGCUGCCCGCUCUCUUCGUCGCAUCGCUUCAUCCCGUUCGAAUGCUCUGUCCUCCGGCUCUGCACCAUGGCCAUCCGUUCCUUCAUUGGUGAUGUUGGUUGAGCUUCCUUGGAUUUCGCGUUGGCUCCUUCGUAGGAGCGUGGGUCGUUCCGUCCUUGCUGUCCAGAUUGUUAUAGGAAUUUCCGUUUAGCUCGUCGCCGCGUCUCCAUUCUGCUCGCUGAAGUCAAGAAAUCCAGGAGAUGGCUCGUGUGCCAAUGGUUGACAGGAUUGCUCCACCAGAACUUACCCAGCUUAUUGGAUAGAAGUACAAGCUCCUUGUGUCCAUUGCAAGCAGAAGCUUUAAUGUCAACAGUGAGCAGUUGUCGUUCCAAGUUGUGAGGAUUAUAGAGACCUACAAACCCGAGUUAAGCUCGUCCGUGUUUGACUAUGUCCCAGGGACGGCUGGAGCAUCAGCGCCUACUUCACUGGUUGGCAGUCCAGUGUCUUCUGGGAUGUUUACACCAAACACACUAAACAUCUAUAAUGCACAGCCUGGUAGCUCAUCAGGCAGCCUUACUAUAGGCUAUAAAACAUCUACAGCCGAGGCACGCACACCCACUUCAAAGCUCAGUGCUGCCCUUCUUCCAGCUACACCCCCAGGCAAAUCACCAUGUCCAAGCGGCGUGUUUUGUUUCUUGGUACUGAUAAGCAAACUACUGCACUGGAAGAACCUCUGAAGAAGCUUGCCGAGGCUGACAAGGUGCAUGAGAGCAAACAUGACGAUCCAGCUGAACCUUCUUCACCUGCUGUUGAAGAAAAGAAUGACAAAGAUGACCAGACUCUGAUGAUCAAGAACAAAAGGGGCACUGGUGUUGGAAAGAGAGCUGGGGUAACAAAGAAAACAAAGUAGUGACUGCUCUACACUGGCCAUGCAGAGAUAAAUUUUCUAUAGGAUGAGGUGGCAAGCAGGGAAGUAACACUAGUAGAAAAUGAAGGAAAUAUGCCCUAGAGGCAAUAAUAAAGUUAUUAUUUAUUUCCUUAUUUUAUGAUAAAUGUUUAUUAUUCAUGCUAGAAUUGUAUUAACCGGAAACAUGAUACAUGUGUGAAUACAUAGACAAACA